GUUCAACGAAGACUCGUCCAAAGUCUCUUUCCACUCAUCUUCCCAACAAAUCCACCGUUAUAUAUGGGUAUCGAAAUUCUAUCGGAGCUUGGUUAUUAAUUCUCAUCCUUUUUAGAACUUCUUGGCAGACAUCUUUUCGUCUCACUCUCCUCUCUCGUGAAGUUUGUUUCUCCUCCUCCUCCUCUUCGCAUCGUUCGCCGGAGAAGACAGAGUCGCGACACCUUUCCUCCUCCUUUGUUGCCGCAACUAGUCUUGAGAAACGGGUGGUUGUGUUUCAGAAGCGCGCCUGAAGCUCGGAUUUUGGAGUCGAAAAACCAGGAGAUAAAGUAGCAUUUUUCGACUCAAAGCAGGUAUGAUCAUGAAAACUUUCACCCGCAAUCAGACAUGCAAAGUUUUAAUUUUUGGAACUGUGUUGGUGGCUUAUGUGGAAAUGAGCAUGUAUAUGCGUGGAGUGGCCUCUUUUUACAGCCUUUUUUAAAUUUCUGUCUGUUUCGCUCGCUCGAGGAGUCGGCGAUUUCGAAAUGAUGGAUUCGCUGAAAAUGCAUGACGAAUGUGGGAGGGGAGAAGCAGAUGGUAAUGAGAGGGGUAGAGCUUGCGGGGUGUUGUGGUUCAUCCGAGUUAUAGAUUACUCUGUUACUGCAUUGAGUGAGGUUUUACUAUCGUGUUAUUGUCCGUAAGUCGGAUACAAUGUCAUUUCUUUUGAUUGAAUAAUGA